UACGUAUGUGGCAAGCGUUAUCCGGAUUUACUGGGUGUAAAGGGCGUGUAGGCGGGGACGCAAGUCAGAUGUGAAAACCACGGGCUCAACCUGUGGCCUGCAUUUGAAACUGUGUUUCUUGAGUACUGGAGAGGCAGACGGAAUUCCUAGUGUAGCGGUGAAAUGCGUAGAUAUUAGGAGGAACACCAGUGGCGAAGGCGGUCUGCUGGACAGCAACUGACGCUGAGGCGCGAAAGCGUGGGGAGCAAACAGG
rnacentral:rRNA from 1 species